UACGGCCACAUCCUGUUGAAACACCUGUUCCCGUACGAUCACCGAAGUUAAGCAACGUCGAGCCUGAUCAGUAGUACAUAUAUGGGUGAUCGCUUGGGAACAGCAGUUGCUGUAAG